GCGACGACCUCUCUGACGAGGUGCAGAGCUUAGCUGAUUGGUGAACAGUGACUGGUUUCCGCUUUGUUCACAGUGGCUAAGUUCUGCACCUGAAGAGAAGGUGA
ensembl:miRNA MIR27B microRNA 27b